rnacentral:lncRNA from 1 species
AGUUACGUAUGAGCCAAAUAGCAUGGGCUCUCUCUCAUCAAUGCUCAUCUAGCUGCUGCCAAUAUCAAACGUCUGACCUGCCAGCAACAGAGACCAUUCCUGAGCUCUGGUCUUUGACCAGCAAUGUGCUUAGGGAUCUCAGGAUCAGAAGCCAGACCAGCCAGAAUCCUCAGUACUCAAGAGCUUUAAGACCUUAUGCCAGAGCCCAAUGUUACUCCAAAACCUUGGCAAGAAAGGUGCACUGAGAUUUCAAACUCCGGAAUCUAUCUCUACCCUUUGUCUGAUUGGGAAGUGCUUUGAGACUGCAAGCCUAGGUUCUUUGCCUGCUUCUUUCCAGGACCUCACAUGUCCCAAUUUGCCUGGGAUAGUGUCAAUUUAAACCAUUUGUCUUGGUGUUUAAAUGUUAUGAUAGUCUGUUUCUCUCAAAUUUGGAUAAAAAACUAUGUAGUCACCUUACUGAUGAACAAAGUGCUGUGCAGACUUAACCCAGGAUUCUAUUUACCCACAAUUGCUAAGUAAUAAAUUAUUCUAAAAUCUUAGUAUCAGGUUUUUUUUUUUUCUAUUCACAUACUCCUAUCACUAAAACAGUAUUUGUGUGCAAAAGCCAUUAUCUUGAGAUGUGGCCAUAGUUGAACAUUAGCUGAUACAGUUUUAUCUUCUUGUGCCACUUGGAAC